rnacentral:rRNA from 1 species
UACGGAGGAUGCGAGCGUUAUCCGGAUUUAUUGGGUUUAAAGGGUGCGUAGGCGGGCUUUUAAGUCAGCGGUAAAAAUUCGGGGCUCAACCCCGUCCGGCCGUUGAAACUGGGGGUCUUGAGUGGGCGAGAAGAAGGCGGAAUGCGUGGUGUAGCGGUGAAAUGCAUAGAUAUCACGCAGAACCCCGAUUGGGAAGGCAGCCUUCCGGCGCCCUACUGACGCUGAGGCACGAAAGUGCGGGGAUCGAACAGG